CAGAAGUGCGAAUGCUGACAUGAGUAGCGUUAAAGGGGGUGAAAAGCCCCCUCGCCGAAAGCGCAAGGUUUCCUACGCAACGUUCAUCGGCGUAGGGUUAGUCGGCCCCUAAGGCGAGGCAGAAAUGCGUAGUCGAUGGGAAACGGAUUAAUAUUUCCGUACUUGUUAUAUCAGUGAAGGGGGGACGGAGAAGGUUAUGCUAGCUUGGCGUUGGUUGUCCAAGUGAAAGUGCGUAGGGUUGAUUUUUAGGUAAAUCCGGAAAUCUACAUGCCUGAGACACGAGACGAGUCACUACGGUGACGAAGUAGCAAAUACCCUGCUUCCAGGAAAAGCCUCUAAACUUAUGAUAUAUCGAACCGUACCCCAAACCGACACAGGUGGUCAGGUAGAGAAUACCAAGGCGCUUGAGAGAACUCGGGUAAAGGAACUAGGCAAAAUGGUGCCGUAACUUCGGGAGAAGGCACGCUGGUGGUAAGUGAAAUCCCUGCGGGUGGAGCUGAAGCCAGUCGAAGAUACCAGGCCCCUGCGACUGUUUAUUAAAAACACAGCACUGUGCUAAAUCGAAAGAUGACGUAUACGGUGUGACGCCUGCCCGGUGCCGGAAGGUUAAUUGAUGGG
rnacentral:rRNA from 14 species